rnacentral:rRNA from 1 species
ACCGGUGAUUAUAGCGAAGAGGGUACACCCGUUCCCAUCCCGAACACGGAAGUUAAGCUCUUCAGCUCCGAUGAUACUGUGUGGGCAACUGCAUGGGAAAAUAGGAAGUCGCCGUUU